rnacentral:tRNA from 1 species
GCGGGCGUGGUGGAAUUGGUAGACGCGCGGCACUCAAAAUGCCGUUCCUUAGGGAGUGUCGGUUCAAGUCCGACCGCCCGCACCA